rnacentral:rRNA from 1 species
AUACGUAGGUGACAAGCGUUAUCCGGAUUUACUGGGCGUAAAGGGCGUGUAGGCGGUCUUGCAAGUCAGAAGUGAAAUUCCUGAGCUCAACUCGGGCGCUGCUUCUGAAACUGCAGGACUUGAGUGCUGGAGGGGAUAGCGGAAUUCCUAGUGGAGCGGUAAAAUGCGCAGAUAUUAGGAAGAACACCGGUGGCGAAGGCGGAUUGCUGGACGACAACUGACGUUGAGGCGCGAAAGCGUGGGGAGCAAACAGGGUUAUAUACCCUGGUAGUCCACGCUGUAAACUAUGAAUACUAGGUGUGCGGGGACUGACCCCCUGCGUGCCGCAGCUAACGCAAUAAGUAUUCCACCUGGGGAGUACGAUCGCAAGGUUGAAACUCAAAUGAAUUGGCUGGG